rnacentral:rRNA from 1 species
UACGAGAGGACCGGGACGGACGAACCUCUAGUGUGCCAGUUGUUCUGCCAAGAGCACGGCUGGUUAGCUACGUUCGGGAGUGAUAACCGCUGAAAGCAUCUAAGCGGGAAGCAUGCUUCAAGAUGAGGUUUCCCACUGGGUCAACCAGGUAAGGCCCCCAGCUAGAACACUGGGUUGAUAGGCCGGAUGUGUAAGCACAGCAAUGUGUUUAGCUGACCGGUACUAAUAGGCCGAGGACUUGGCACAA